UGGGGAAUAUUGGGCAAUGGGCGAAAGCCUGACCCAGCGACGCCGCGUGAGGGAAGAAGGUCUUCGGAUUGUAAACCUUAGUCAACAGGGAAGAAGAAAGUGACGGUACCUGUGGAGGAAGCCACGGCUAACUACGUGCCAGCAGCCGCGGUAAUACGUAGGUGGCGAGCGUUAUCCGGAUUUACUGGGUGUAAAGGGUGUGUAGGCGGGAUUGCAAGUCAGAUGUGAAACCUAUGGGCUUAACCCAUAGCCUGCAUUUGAAACUGUGAUUCUUGAGUGAAGUAGAGGUAGGCGGAAUUCCGAGUGUAGCGGUGAAAUGCGUAGAUAUUCGGAGGAACACCAGUGGCGAAGGCGGCCUACUGGGCUUUAACUGACGCUGAGGCUCGAAAGUGUGGGGGAGC
rnacentral:rRNA from 1 species